rnacentral:rRNA from 1 species
UAGGGAAUCUUCCACAAUGGACGCAAGUCUGAUGGAGCAACGCCGCGUGAGUGAAGAAGGUCUUCGGAUCGUAAAGCUCUGUUGUUGGUGAAGAAGGAUAGAGGCAGUAACUGGUCUUUAUUUGACGGUAAUCAACCAGAAAGUCACGGCUAACUACGUGCAGCAGCCGCGGUAAUACGUAGGUGGCAAGCGUUGUCCGGAUUUAUUGGGCGUAAAGCGAGCGCAGGCGGAAUGAUAAGUCUGAUGUGAAAGCCCACGGCUCAACCGUGGAACUGCAUCGGAAACUGUCAUUCUUGAGUGCAGAAGAGGAGAGUGGAACUCCAUGUGUAGCGGUGGAAUGCGUAGAUAUAUGGAAGAACACCAGUGGCGAAGG